rnacentral:ncRNA from 1 species
UCCGUCCGGGAGUGUUAUAGCCCCGGGCGUAAUGCCCUCGCCGGGACCGAGGUUCGCGCAUCUGCAAGGAUGCUGGCGUAAUGGUCAUCAACGACCCGUCUUGAAACACGGACCAAGGAGUCAAGGUUUUGCGCGAGUGUUUGGGUGUAAAACCCGCACGCGUAAUGAAAGUGAACGUAGGUGAGAGCUUCGGCGCAUCAUCGACCGAUCCUGAUGUAUUCGGAUGGAUUUGAGUAAGAGCGUUAAGCCUUGGACCCGAAAGAUGGUGAACUAUGCUUGGAUAGGGUGAAGCCAGAGGAAACUCUGGUGGAGGCUCGCAGCGGUUCUGACGUGCAAAUCGAUCGUCAAAUCUGAGCAUGGGGGCGAAAGACUAAUCGAACCAUCUAGUAGCUGGUUACCGCCGAAGUUUCCCUCAGGAUAGCAGUGUUGUUCUUCAGUUUUAUGAGGUAAAGCGAAUGAUUAGGGACUCGGGGGCGCUUUUUAGCCUUCAUCCAUUCUCAAACUUUAAAUAUGUAAGAAGCCCUUGUUACUUAAUUGAACGUGGGCAUUCGAAUGUACCAACACUAGUGGGCCAUUUUUGGUAAGCAGAACUGGCGAUGCGGGAUGAACCGAACGCGGGGUUAAGGUGCCGGAGUGGACGCUCAUCAGACACCACAAAAGGCGUUAGUACAUCUUGACAGCAGGACGGUGGCCAUGGAAGUCGGAAUCCGCUAAGGACUGUGUAACAACUCACCUGCCGAAUGUACUAGCCCUGAAAAUGGAUGGCGCUCAAGCGUCCCACCCAUACCCCGCCCUCAGGGUAGAAACGAUGCCCUGAGGAGUAGGCGGCCGUGGAGGUCAGUGACGAAGCCUAGGGCGUGAGCCCGGGUCGAACGGCCUCUAGUGCAGAUCUUGGUGGUAGUAGCAAAUACUUCAAUGAGAACUUGAAGGACCGAAGUGGGGAAAGGUUCCAUGUGAACAGCGGUUGGACAUGGGUUAGUCGAUCCUAAGCCAUAGGGAAGUUCCGUUUCAAAGGGGCACUUGUGCCCCGUGUGGCGAAAGGGAAGCCGGUUAACAUUCCGGCACCUGGAUGUGGGUUUUGCGCGGCAACGCAACUGAACGCGGAGACGACGGCGGGGGCCCCGGGCAGAGUUCUCUUUUCUUCUUAACGGUCUAUCACCCUGAAAACAGUU